GAUUCCACUAUCUGCCAAGAUGGGAUUCGAAUCAGGACUUCAGUCGUUUGUUUUAAUAUUCUGGAUAAAAGCUAAAUACAUCAGGAUAUUACAGGUGGUCAUUCAGAUGGUAAUCUCAGUAAAUGUUCUGCCAAACUCUGAUUGAAUUACUCAGUGUAUCAGUACCUGGAUAUUCGCGUUGUGUGUGGUGCUAGAUGGUGAAGGUUUGCAGACUGAAAUC